rnacentral:misc_RNA from 1 species
UUUGCUUGCGCAACAACUUCCACCUGACUUACCUUUUCAGUUCCUUGCGUAGCGAUUAUUAGAUCUAUGUAAAUUAUUGGUUUCUUGUGUUGCCUACCUAAUUAAUGGUAUUGUCCCUGAUUGAAUCAAGUAGCCUUUGUCUUUUUGUUAUUUGCAAGACAUGAGAUGAACCGUAAAGCUGUCUCUUUGUUCUACACAAUUGGUGCUUGCAUUGAUGUUGUGGCCCAUUGAGCAUUGCUUGUUAUCAUGUAUAUGGAACUUGAUUUGGGCAUGAGGUCUCAUAGGCCUUUGUUUUGCCCUUUUUUAGCAUCCAUGCUUCCCUAUAAAUGAUUGACCAUCCUGUUAGGCUUUGUACUAAUAGGUGGGUUAAGUCAAAGAGGAAUGU